GCCAGUGUGGUGUAGUGGUUUGAACAUUGAACUACAACUCUGAAACCAGGGUUUGAUUCCCUGCUUGGCCA